AGCAUCGUCUGGACGUCCAGUCCGCGCUGGCUUCUAAGCCAGCGCCUGCUCCGUUCCUGUUCAACGUACCGGGCGAAGGUGUCAUCCAGCUGCCGCCCCCACCGAGCCACGCCACCGACAUCAAGUCAUCCGUCUUCCCGCCUCCUUUCCCUGUCGGUGCACCGGCCAACAAGCGACCCGGUCGCCAUGGCAGCCGGCGACGCGGUCCCAACGCCAAUCAGGAGCCGCCGCCCAGGCGCUCACCACCCAAUCAAGACCAGCGGCGCCGACCACCACCCAAUCACGACCAGCCACGUCGCCCACCCGAAGGUCGUCGGCCGCCGGUUAGCCACCGACAUCCGCCAGGCGACCACGGAGGCCACCGUCAUCCGCACGGCGAGGAGCGCCAGCAGGAGAGCGAGCG